rnacentral:rRNA from 1 species
CAGUGACCUUCAAGUUUAACGGCCGCGGUAUCCUGACCGUGCAAAGGUAGCAUAAUCAUUUGUCCCUCAAUUAGGGACUAGUAUGAAUGGCUAAACGAGAAUUCAACUGUCUCUUAUUCUAAAUCAGUGAAAUUGACCUUCCAGUGAAGAGGCUGGAAUAAAAUAAUAAGACGAGAAGACCCUAUGGAGCUUUAAUUAACUAACCUAAUUAUAACAAUCAAACCCUAAUGGAACAAAAACAUAAACAUUAAGCUAGCAAUUUCGGUUGGGGUGACCUCGGAGAACAAAAAAUCCUCCGAAUGAUUAUAGCAUAGACAAACAAGUCAAAGCAACCCUCUAAAUCUCAUUGAUCCAAAAUUCUUUGACCAACGGACCAAGUUACCCUAGGGAUAACAGCGCAAUCCUAUUUAAGAGUCCAUAUCGACAAUUAGGGUUUACGACCUCGAUGUUGGAUCAGGACAUCCCAAUGGUGCAGAAGCUAUUAAAGGUUCGUUUGUUCAA